AAGCCAGUAAGCAGCACUCCCCGACAGCCUCUGCUUCAGCUCCUGCCUCCAGGCUUCUGCCUUGAGCUCCUGAUCUGGCUUUUCUCAGUGAUGGACUGUAACUGAUCUGAGGCGACCCCUGAGUAAGGAUUGUUUGACCAUCUCAAAGGGAUCAAGGCUCACAGGUUGAGAAACGCUGCUCCAGCCCCUGCGGCUGUUUUUAUUGCAGGCAUUGAAUGAGCUUUGGCUUGGAUGUCAGACUCCCAUUCCACUUUGUAUGUAAGCAUGUCAGUCUUUCGAGGAGUGUCUACAAGCAAGUGACAGAAGGAGGUUCAGCCCUAACUUAUCUAACCCUCUUCAGGCUGAAGACAAAAAGAUAAGACUAAGUAGGAACACGCUGCGUAAAACACUGUGGGAUUAGUGAGCAUCUGGGCAUCUUAAAUUUUGACUGGCAAUUGACUCUAACUUCAACCGACGAAGACCCACCCUUCAUCCAGCUCUCCAGGAAUAACAGUAAUUGGAGGUAGAAAAAAGCAUUAGUCACAGACAGCUCCUGCUUAGGCUCUGAAACCUGUAAGGCAUCUGGAGAAUGCUGGAGUCUGGCUUCCUUGAACUGAGAACAUCAAAGGCAAUGAGAAAGACUGAGAGGCAUAAGGAUUGUUUUUCCUUUCAACUACUAAGAUGGCCGGCAGUUCAGUAAACUAAGCAUCAUUCAAGAAGGAUGGAGUGCAUUCGAAGAACUGGUACCCAUGAUGACUGGGGUCCUGCAAACCACAGGACAUUGACCCUGCCUGAAAGGUGGCUUGUUGCCAUGUGAAGAAAAGACAUUUAACUACCUAGAAGAUGGAGACAGCGGCAUCAAGAAGCAUGGUGACUCAUCUGAAGUCACUCAUCGGAAGACUCCAUGGGUUCUGACUCAUAAGGCCUUCCCGCAAGAAUCCUCUCUGGGCAAGGAUGUGUGAUCGCCAAGCAGAUGAGCAGUCUCCUGACCAGGCUGGGGCCUCUUGAGAUUUUCUCUGGAUACCCACACUCAUAAAAGAAAGAACC
rnacentral:lncRNA from 1 species